CCCAGAGCUGUGGGAGAGUCAGUAUGCAGUGGCAGAGACAGCAGCAUUCUGCACCAGUUCAGAGAGAGACCUUGGAGCAGUGGCAGAGGCAAUGGCCUUGGAGCAGGCAGCAGCAGCCUGAGAGGAACCAGGUGAAGAGUGGUAGCCGAAGCAGCAGCAGCAGUGGGAGCAGUUUCCCUGGAGCCCAGAGUGGGGCCCCGUGGAGAUAACCUCUCUUUCCGCUUCCCUACCCCACCUGCACUUGUGAGGAGACCAGCCAGAGCCACCCCCCCAGGCCUUGUGGACUGGACUGGAGCUGGAAGUGUGAGCAUGCCUGGGAGCACCAGCCUGGAUCUUCACUGGAAAGAAGGAGAGGAGGCUUGGGUCCUUUGGUCAGCUAGUACAGCUUCAAACCUGGCAAUGUGUUGGCAGUGGGAGAAGGCA